rnacentral:rRNA from 1 species
CUAUGCGUCCGUAGCCGGUUUAAUAAGUCUCUGGUGAAAUCCUGCAGCUUAACUGUGGGAAUUGCUGGAGAUACUAUUAGACUUGAGAUCGGGAGAGGUUAGAGGUACUCCCAGGGUAGAGGUGAAAUUCUGUAAUCCUGGGAGGACCGCCUGUUGCGAAGGCGUCUGACUGGAACGAUUCUGACGGUGAGGGACGAAAGCUAGGGGCGCGAACCGGAUUAGAWACCCC